UCCCUCGUGGCGCAAUUGGCUAGCGCGUUCGACUGUUAAUCGAGAGGUUGGUGGUUCGAGCCCACCCGCGGGAG
rnacentral:tRNA from 1 species